rnacentral:lncRNA from 13 species
CGCCGGCUGGGACACCCCAAGGUGAGAGCCCCUUUGUGGGUGAGUCCCCACAACUCCCGGGUGACUCCAGGCGGGCACAGGCCCGCCCAACCAGUUCGUCAAGGGAAGCGGCCCGUCCAGCGCCCCAGCCGCUGCUCCACCAAACCUGAGGCCGGACCUGAGUCUGGAGACCUGGCCUCCUCCGGCACUGAGAAGAAUGACCAGAACGCCGAGACCACAUGCACCCGCUCGCCAGGCCGCAGGGUCUGCACAGCACAGCCCGACUCGGGCUCCGACCUCUCCCCGUGUGCGCCACCUCCACGGCCUGCACGCCUACCCCUCUCCCACCCACGACCCCAGAGCCCACCUCAAAGCCGACAGCCCCUUGGGUCUCGCGGACGCGAAGCCCCGCCAGUUUUCCGCCCUCGCGCCCCACUACUCCACCAGCCUCGCCUCAGGACUCCCGCGCCAAGCGAAGGUGUGAAGCCACGUGACCUUCCCGGGCUUGGGAAGCCGCACGAGGGGCUUGAUCCCUCCGCCUUAAAGGGGCCGAGGCCGCCGCCGUCGUGGGGCUCUCCACACAGCGCGGGGUCUAUGGCGUCAGCAGCCCCGCCCCGUCCCGCCCCGCCCGGCUUCCUCCUCACUCCGCAGCGGGUGCGAAAGAGACCCAUAGUGGGGCGUGAGCUUCCAGCGCUAGCGGCUUCGGGUGUGACGGCAGGGUUCCUCCAACAUGGUAGCCAUUUUAAACAUCAAAGCACACAAGCCAAGAAGGCAAAAGAGAGAAGGAGAGAGCUGCAGCAAGAGAGAUUCCUAGCAAAGUAGCAAUCACAGCAUCUUGCCACCUAAUCGUGGAAGUGACAUCCCACUGCUUUUGUCAUAUUCCAUUCAUGAGAAGCAGGUCAAUAGGUCUGGCCCCAACACAAGGGGAGGAGGUUACCUAAAGGAGUAAGAGCCAGAAGUUGGAGAGCCCUGCACUGUAGCUUAGAAGUCUGCCUACUGCACGAGGUCUCACCAUCAGUCCAAAAGUCCCCUUCAGUUUUUCCCAGGAGAUAUAGCAAGACCUCAGGCAAACUGGACUCCAAAUGACCCUUCUGCUAUCCUUAGUUCUAUAUGUACCAGCCCAGACACAUUAAUUUCUACUUUCCAAAGUCAUUCUUCUGUCCUCUAUUUGUCACACAAUCAAAUUUAGCUUUGGCUUUCAGAGAAUGAAAAUGGCAGACAGACAAAAGGAAAGCUUAUCUGAAGUUUAAGAUUUUAAGGAUGCUGCCAGUUUCCAAAAGCAAUUCUGCCCUGGUAAAAUAAAAUCCUUAUUCCGCUUGUCCA